CCCACAAGAUGCUAUUCUUAUAUACUAUUCUUAUAUACUCGUCCUGUAAUAUAACGAAUCGGUCGAUGAGAAUGCACAAUGCAUUUCUCAUGUACCGACCGAGUCGAUCGAGGAAACAAUUCAUAGGAAGCAACAGGUGGAGGAGUAAAAGGCGAAAUAAGCUCACGAGAAGGCGCCACUGGUCAAUGGCGAUAUCUCGAGGAGGCGCUAAUUCGCUCGUUCGUGGGCAUAGUUCGAAGCUCGUCGUCCGACCGCUUGUGCGGCUUUAACUUUUUAAAAUGUCGCCGAUGGCCGUGACAGGGUCUAUUUUUAGCCACAACGAGAUAAGCGUGGCGGGGAGAACUGUUGAGGAGAGACCUGGAGCGAGACGGAAAAGAGGGAAUUCCCUAGGCGAGAAAAAGACGAAUAGAAACAGCUCAGAGUGGGACAUACAGUAGCGUAACCGGAUGGCAUUUUAGUAGGCACUUGGAAAAACACCUGUUUAAUUAACUCUCUGCCUGCACAAUGAUCGAUGGAAUUGGAUGAACAUGCGUAACGAUUCAACAGUUUCUCUCUAUACAUAUAAUGAUUACGUUGUUCCCCCAUUAACGUGAUAUCGAUGAUACGAGCAGUGACGGAUAAUAUAUGAAAACGUUGAGCGAUUAAAUACCGAAGAAAUGUUUUUACUAGUUGACACUAGGGAAUUCCCGACAACAAGCAAUUUGUCCCUAGAUGAAAUAUCUAUAGGGCAUGUACUAUAUCUUCGGAAAGAUAAAAGGCUUUCCACACGUGAAUUACUAUGCGAUUUCGAUUCUCCUGGAUACAAACUACUUUUUUCAUUAAAUAUUCUUUCGUUACAAUAUUGAUUCAAUUACAUCACUGGACAGGAACGACGAAGAUUGUUGGAAUAGAAAUGAAUAGUAGAGUCCGAGGGAUUGGGAACGAGGAAAAGGGGCAAAAGGGGGAGGAAAGAGAAAGAGAGAGAGAUAGAGAGAGAGAAAGAGAAUCAAAGAACUAAUUAUACGUGACGUCACUCGACUGGUUUCAACACAGAGCCGAGUGCAACGAGUCUCGACUCGACGAGUCAAGUCACGGCAAGUGGGCCAAAGAAGUCUUUCCCUAUCUCUCUCCCUCUCUCUUCCUUUUCUAUCCCCGUUUCUUCUUUUUCUAAGCCGCGGAAGCUGCGUGUAGAAGAAGAGGAGGAGUAUAAAGGAGAUUUCUUCUCGCUUCAUGAUG